UAGCCCAGGCGGCAGCAAGGACGCAGAUGCGCGCGCCCGGACGGACGUCUGAAUAAACGCGUGGGGUGUCGCCAGCUGUCAGCAGGGUCACGCGUGACGUUUGUUUUUAAAGGGUGGAGUCCAGCCUUUCUGGUACGUGCACUCCUUUCCAGAAGCCGGUGGUGCUCAGGAACCUUCAGGCCACGGAUUAGAUUAGCAGGACAUCCACACACAAGAGAAAAGAACUCUGAAACCUGCUGUCGCCCCCCGUUUCUCGGGGCCUGCGAACGGCAGUUUGAUGUUUCCUCUGCCCGCCUUUACGAUGGGGAAUCUGCAGGCAGAGAAGCCCCCCGCGGUCCCCCGGGGGCAGAGCCGAGGCUGGGCUUACACAGGCGCUAAAGUAGGGACACAGCGAGACCUGAAUCAACAGAGUUUAUUACUCGUAGCCAGUGGUCACGAAAUGCCCUUCACUGGACACCAUCAGAUGAGGUAGGGAAGACAUUCCAGAGGAAGUUUGUUAAUGGGGCAACAUUUUUAUUUCUGUACAUUUACAUACAAAUCUCCCCCCAGGGUACGACAGCUGUGGCGUCAUGCAGACAGGAACGUAAGGACAGGCCAGGACCGGGUGCAGGUUUGUGCUGGGAGCAGGCACCUCCAGGCGUCCCGUCCGUACGCAGGCCACACGGUUCUCACACAGAAACCUCCGGCCCGGGGCUGCUGGGCCACCGGGGCACCCCCAGCGGCACGCAGGCCGCACCACGUCGCCACCACCCUGUGGCCCAGGGGCUCGUCCUUUCGCGGCGCCUCAGCUGCCCUCGUGUGGCACCAGGAAGUGGUAUUGCGGGCAGUACUUCCUCUGGGCCGUUUCUUUCUCCUGCUGUUCUGUGGCCGGACCAGCUUGCCCGCCCCCGUGCCCCUAGUCGCAAGUGGUAUUGUAGUCUUUCAGGUAACAUUUAAAACUUUUACUGUGUGUUUUGAGUGCUAACAGGCAGGGUAUUGGGUGAGUAUCGGGUGAGUUGUUACUGAUUUCCAGACAGGAAGAGAAGGCAGGAGGAUCACGUUUGUGCCUGACUCGUUGGAAGGGGGUCCCGGCUCCUGGGGGGCUGGGACUGAGGGCGCGGCGUGAUGCCAGAGGAGUAGCUGGACCUUCCCAGGCAGCGGGCUGGGUGAGCCGGGUGGCGGACGUGCAGCGGCAGGCGCCUGAGAAGUGUCUCUCCCCUAAGCACGGAGGGACCUGGGCUGAGGGGUCCACGCGUGAGCACGGGGGUCUCGCAGAGCAGGCAGGACCGGCCCCGGCUGGGCUUGGGGCUGCCUCGCCCGCGUGGUGGGGGGUCUCACGGGGCUCGGCCCACAGGAAGCUUUUCUGCUUUGGCUACGCUCACAGCUGUCCCUCGGGACCAGCCUGACCCAGGGCCGCAGGAGGGGGCAUGGAGGAGCCGGGAACCUCCCCUCCCUCACACCUGCCAGGCUUUGGUCCCGGGAGCCCCGCCCUCGCAGCCAGCUUCUCUUCUAGUCUAUGAGCUGGUCCUGACCGCUGCGGUCACAGUGCUGGGCUCUGUGGGACCAGCGUCUACUGUUGUCACUUAAGACGGACCUCAGACUUUGGAACAGGGGUCUGGGAGCGCUGUGCCCGCCUUCCUGGAGGUGCCAGCUGUCCCCUGCGGCUUGAGCACGAUCUCUAAAGGUCUACAUGGCCAGCAGGAGGGCACGCACGGCCUGGGGUCUGGCGAGCGGCCUGGCUGCAAGGUGUCCUGGAGCUGGGGUGAUGGGUGCAGACACACCUGGCAGGUGUGGCCCAGGGACCCCGCCAGCCCUGCGCUGCACGUCCUGCCCUGGACCGGGGACCCUGCGGCCGGCAUGCUGAGAGAGGCUAAGGCGCUUCCCAGGUUUGGCACUCGAGCUGCACAGGUGUGAAGAAAGGCCUUGUAGAUUAAGGUGAAUGCGGACGGACGCUGAAACACAGAACAGACAUGACUCAAGACACAAGGCAGGGCCAUGAGGGGCUGGGCUGGUGGCCCUGGGACCAGGCGGUGUAGCUGCCGCCACCACACAGGCCUGCGCGUCUGCUCACCUCACGGCGUUCCCACCGAGCCAGCGGCUCCUCCCCGCGGCCGCCAGCUUGUAGGGGCACCGUGGGGGGACGGCAAGACAGACUGGAGGGGACAGGAGGCGAGCGGGGACGCGCUCCACCUCUCUCCUGGGCCUCGGAGUCUGGGCAGCCGUGGGCUGGGAGUCCCCUCGCUGCUUCCCACGGACCCAGGGCCACGCCUUCCCUGGAAGAAGAGCCCACGGCAGAGGCACCGUGGGGAGGUGGACCCUUCCAGGAAGAGCCCAGGCUGUCCCGGGACUGCCACAAGGCGGUGCCUGCCUGGCCAGCGAGGGGUGUUUCUCAGCAUCUCCUGCGUUUCCUCUGAAACGGCUCCAGACAGGUGCAGAGAGCCUGACCUGGAAAGGCAGGGGGAUGAAGUGAGGAACACAACGAAAACCCUUGGAGUCGGGUGGGGCUCGAGCUUUGGUGAGUUAUUGCUUCUCUCAGUUGGUCUUGAUGUUCUCGGAGGCUGCCGUCAGCAGAGCUCCCCAGUGAGGGCCUGCUCCAGGCCCAGCUCCGUGCUGACGGAAGCAGAGGGCUCUGGGGUCUCCGCCGGCGGCUAGCGGAGCCGAGGCCUCCAAGCUGGUGAUUUCUGCGCCGUGUGUGCUCGGGAUGUGGCUGGCGGGCCGUGUUUGCAAGAGCACCGCUCCCUCCUGGGGGCUGCCUAGCCUAUUGAGUUAUUUUCCUAUUGGUGUUAGUUCAGGAAGUAGUCGUGUGUUCAUGUUGUGCUGGCAGAAAAGCUGACUGCAAGAGGGGACUUUCCUGCUGGAGCUGAACCAGGAGGAGGGGUGAUAACAGUAACUUGUCUCUGAUCGAUGGCGUCGCUGCUCGGGAUCUGAGCUGGGCAGCCCUGCCUUGGAGACCGUGGCGAUACCGCCACUAAUCAGGCUCUUCCCCCAAAGAGCUUCCAGCAUCAAGUAUAAAAGGAUGAUCUCGCGGGAAAGACUAAGCUGGUUUUAAUGAUACCGUGAGCUGCUUUCCCCCAGCACAUGGAGCAGAAGCUCUUACCUUACAGAGAAAACCUUUAAAAACCAUAUACAGACUCUAGCAAAACCCUAACCAUUUACAUUUCAGUCUGAAUAAAGCACAGCUGUGGGAGUGCUCC